AUUUUCUGACAUUUGAAAAGAUCUGAAGAUACGCCCCUUGGAUGCCUGCAGAGAAGCUCUGGGGCUUCAGUCAAUGACUCAGGGUAGCCACCGAACAUGAUGCUCGGGCAGUGGGUGCCACCUGGACUCCACUCUCCCCUCUCUCUGGGAUCAUAGAGUCCAAGGUGUUCUGUGGCCUCUCGGCCAAUCCCAGCAGCUCAGCGUGCAGAAGACCGAGGAGCCAUUGGAAUUCAACACAACACGAAAUAAUCAACAAAUUCGGGGAAUGUUAAUCUGACCAUCACCAGUUACAAAUGAUGUUUCAUGCUACCUUCUAUUCCUGCCUUCAUAAAUCAAGGAAAAGAAAAAGAGAACAUAUAUCCCCCUACCUUUUGAUUUCCAACAGUCUACUGAGAGGCCAAGAUUAUUUGCAGGGAAAGAAAAGGGGAAUGCCAUCCCCACCCUCUCGCAGCUACGUGCCAGUUCCAGAGCACCUGUUCCCCUCUACUUUGAAAAGGUCAAAAUGUUUUGCCAGUAACUCCCAAAUCAUCUACAGCCAAGGAGAAAAGUGUUUCAAGACAGAGGUGCUCAAUGGUAUCAAAUACUGCCAACAGACCAAGUAAUACAUGCAUUGAAGUGUCUACUGGAUCUAGCUAUAUGAAUUUUUAAUUUAGGACACUUAGGCCAUACUGAAGCAAGGUGACAAAAUGAAUAGCUACAAUGUCUCGUGAAUCUUGGGUUUCCAUUCACCCUGGUAUUCAAGAGAAAUUCUUGCAUCAUGGAAGUUGCAGUUGGAUAGGACUUUCUCAGCUGAACACUGUCAUCUGCCAGAGCUUCAGGCAAGAACCCAGAACAGAUGAAACCCCAGACAUGACAAAAUAAGCCAAAGAAUACCAGGCCAAGGUGUGAAAGGCCAGAUGAGAACAAGCAGCGUACACGAUUCUGUUGCCAACAGAUCUCCCCUAACAGUGUCGUGCACCAAAUUUCCACAGUGAAUGUCAGGAAAAAAUGGCAAUUGAGGUGGGUGGUCAAAAGAGAAGCACAGUCUAUGAUGAAGUCACCCCAGAGAAGUCCUUUUUCCGUUUUCUCCUGAGAAAUUACCAGAAGAAAUUAAAAUCCUUUUGAGUAUUGCA
rnacentral:lncRNA from 1 species